GCCCUCGUAGCUCAAUUGGACAGAGCAUUGGUCUUCUAAACCAAGGGUUGUGGGUUCAAGUCCCGCCGGGGGCG
rnacentral:tRNA from 1 species